GACGAACGCUGGCGGCGUGCUUAAUACAUGCAAGUCGAGCGAGGUUACUGUUUUGGAUCCCUUCGGGGUGAAGAAGCUUUAACCUAGCGGCGGACGGGUGAGUAACGCGUGGGUAACCUACCCCAAAGUCCGGGAUAACAGCGGGAAACCGCUGCUAAUACCGGAUGUCUUUACCUUGGGGCAUCUUGAGGUAAAGAAAGGUAACGCUUUGGGAUGGGCCCGCGUCCCAUUAGCUAGUUGGUGAGGUAACGGCUCACCAAGGCGACGAUGGGUAGCCGGCCUGAGAGGGUGGACGGCCACACUGGGACUGAGACACGGCCCAGACUCCUACGGGAGGCAGCAGUAGGGAAUAUUGCGCAAUGGACGGAAGUCUGACGCAGCGACGCCGCGUGAGCGAUGAAGGUCUUCGGAUCGUAAAGCUCUGUCCUUGGGGAAGAAGGCGAAAGCUUGACGGUACCCAAGAAGAAAGCCCCGGCUAACUACGUGCCAGCAGCCGCGGUAAUACGUAGGGGGCGAGCGUUGUCCGGAAUUACUGGGCGUAAAGGGUGCGUAGGCGGCCCUUUAAGUCGGAUGUGAAAGCCCGCGGCUUAACCGCGGAAUGGCAUUCGAAACUGGAGGGCUUGAGUGUCGGAGAGGGUAGUGGAAUUCCCAGUGUAGCGGUGAAAUGCGUAGAUAUUGGGAGGAACACCAGUGGCGAAGGCGACUACCUGGACGAUAACUGACGCUGAGGCACGAAAGCUAGGGGAGCAAACAGG
rnacentral:rRNA from 1 species